AACCCAUAUUGAGGACAUUUACACAGGAGUUUCUUGAACCUUUCCCAUGUCUCAAAUAGAGACUGCAAUUCCAUUUGCACAAAGGACGAAAUCUCAUUCCUAAGCUU